rnacentral:rRNA from 1 species
UCCCUACGGGAGGCUGCAGUGGGGAAUUGUUCACAAUGGGCGCAAGCCUGAUGACGCAACGCCGCGUGGGGGAUGAAGGUCUUCGGAUCGUAAACCCCUGUCGAACGGGACGAAUAGCCUUCGGAUUAAUACCCUGGAGGAAUGACGGUACCGUUAAAGGAAGCCACGGCUAACUCUGUGCCAGCAGCCGCGGUAAUACAGAGGUGGCAAGCGUUGUUCGGAAUUACUGGGCGUAAAGGGCGCGUAGGCGGCCAUUUAAGUCAGACGUGAAAUCCCCCGGCUUAACCUGGGAACUGCGUCUGAUACUGGACGGCUUGAGUUUGGGAGAGGGAUGUAGAAUUCCAGGUGUAGCGGUGAAAUGCGUAGAUAUCUGGAGGAAUACCGGUGGCGAAGGCGGCAUCCUGGACCAAUACUGACGCUGAGGCGCGAAAGCUAGGGGAGCAAACGGGAUUAGAUACCCUAGUAGUCCU